rnacentral:snRNA from 1 species
AUCACUUGUCAGCCUUUUGGCUAAGAUCAAGUGUAGUAUCUGUUCUUAACAAUUUAAUACCUGAUUCAUCCUCUAUCCAGAGACAAAUAUAUUACAUGGAUUUUUGGAAUUAGGACAUAGGAUAGGAGCUUAUUCUCUCCACUCCACCUGUCAACCGGGUGUUGCAGUACUAUUACUUCAUUGUAGAGAAAAU